CACGUAGGGCGCAAGCGUUGUCCGGAAUUAUUGGGCGUAAAGAGCUCGUAGGCGGCUUGUUGCGUCGGCUGUGAAAACCCAUGGCUCAACCGUGGGCUUGCAGCCGAUACGGGCAGGCUAGAGUUCGGUAGGGGAGACUGGAAUUCCUGGUGUAGCGGUGAAAUGCGCAGAUAUCAGGAGGAACACCGGUGGCGAAGGCGGGUCUCUGGGCCGAUACUGACGCUGAGGAGCGAAAGCGUGGGGAGCGAACAGG
rnacentral:rRNA from 1 species